ensembl:snoRNA
UUGCAUCUUUUGACAGCCCAGUGUCUUGUGAUGUUUAGAUGCCUGGGUUUUAUUAUACAGAUGCGAAAUUAAAAGUCCCUGCGCUUUCUUCGUGUCCUGUCAGUGACCUAGAAGAUUGAAUUGGGGACUACAGAA